rnacentral:lncRNA from 1 species
AUGUUUGAUAUAAUGGCUUGGGAUGACUAUAUUGUGGAAUGGGCUGCAAAGAUUUCAAGUAGCUUCCUCACAACGGCUAUUUUGGCCCUCAUUUCACUGGUCCUAGCAAGUGCUUUAUGUCCUGGAAACUGAAGAAGAUGAUUGUGGAGCCGGGAAAACAGCAAAAGAAGAAACAGGAGUCAAGAAAAUAUCGCCAAAGUCAAACCACUUAAAAAGGAU